CCUACGUGUGGCAGCAGUGGGGAAUAUUGGACAAUGGGCGAAAGCCUGAUCCAGCAAUGCCGCGUGUGUGAAGAAGGCCUUCGGGUUGUAAAGCACUUUCAGUGGGGAAGAAAGCCUUGGGGCUAAUACCCUCGAGGAAGGACAUCACCCACAGAAGAAGCACCGGCUAACUCCGUGCCAGCAGCCGCGGUAAUACGGAGGUGCGAGCGUUAAUCGGAAUUACUGGGCGUAAAGCGCGCGUAGGCGGUCUGAUAAGCCGGUUGUGAAAGCCCCGGGCUCAACCUGGGAACGGCAUCCGGAACUGUCAGGCUAGAGUGCAGGAGAGGAAGGUAGAACUCCCGGUGUAGCGGUGAAAUGCGUAGAGAUCGGGAGGAAUACCAGUGGCGAAGGCGGCCUUCUGGACUGUCACUGACGCUGAGGUGCGAAAGCGUGGGUAGCAAACAGGAUUAGAUACCCGAGUAGUC
rnacentral:rRNA from 1 species